AAUCCCUUAUCACCGCAGUCUCUGUGGAAAUGGUCGAUCUUCCGCUGUCAGAAAGUCAACAAAUGAUUGAAGACGAAUUUGAAGAUGGAGAAAGUGAGAAUUUUCAUCGAUUUUAACCCGAAAAUUCAAAUUUCCCGCUGCAGAAAGUGCGCUCCAGUGAGAAAUUUGCGUUUUUCAACGAAUUUUGGCAGAUUUUUAUCAAAUUUUCCUUCAGGCAACAUCAUUUCCGCCUUUAUUCGCCGUAUUCAAGUGCAAUUUGGACAACUUUGCCGCCAAAUUACCCGUUCCAUCGAAAAAGUGAUCUACGUGGUGACUUCGAUCACGAAAAAUGGAAAUGGGGUCGCCGAUUUUAUAAAUUCCGUGAGAUCGGCCUCUGGGAGGUAAAAUUUUGAAAUUUUAGUGAAAAAUCCCACCGAAAAUGCGGUUUUAAGUGGAAAAAUUGUUUUUCUCAAUUUUUCUGUGCAAAAAUUCGGUUGGUAUUGGAUUUUUAGCUAAAAAUCCAUAAAAUCCGAAUUUGGCAUUGCAAACGCGCUCCAUUGCGAAUUCCCGCAGAUUUUUGCAUUUGAGCGCAUUUGCACCUUUUUUUUAAAACAAUUUUUGUGGCUCCUGUCCUUCUACCCUAAUCUGGAGGAGAAAAUACCGGUUUUAAUGAUUUUUUACACUGAAAAAUUCAUUAAAAUCCGUAUUUUCCACCUUCCGAUUAUCGGUAGAGCACAUUUGCCACCGGAGAUGCGGAAGCUAUGCCCAAAUUUUGAUUUUUCAUCGUAAAAUUCACCUAAAACCGAUAUUUUCAGCGGAUCCGCCGCUUCUGGACCAUUCGAACGUGAUUAUUUCAAUCUUCGGAAGGUGAUCAUCGUCGCAACUUCAACUGGAACCGUAUUCGGAAUCGACAGUGCCGACGGGCGGUACCUAUGGAAAUUGUGGCUCGGCGAGCACUUCCAGCCACUGGAAAGCCCGUUUGACGGAGAAAAAGUGCCUCUUUUUGUGCAAAGGACCACGGCUCAUUAUCAGUUGGACGGGCUGGCUUCUGUCGUUUUUUCGAAUAAAG
rnacentral:sRNA from 1 species